AAAAAAAAAAAAAAAAAGAAGAAGAAGAAAAGGCAGGAUGUCCUCCAGAUGGCUCAGCGGGUCACAUUUCCAGGCCACGCUGCUCUUUCUCGAGUCUUUCGGACUCUUCCUGGCUCUGUCUUGGGUUCCUACUGAGCCAAAGCAAAAAACAACAAUGCCGACGCCGUCACGAAUGAAGCUUUUUUUAUUUUGCACCCCAUGGGGUUGUCUUCUGUCUUCAAAGUGUUGCACCAAAAGCACCAGUUAUUCUGGGCUGAAGAGGUGACUCAAUGGGAGACUACAUGUAUGCUUAGCAGGCUUGAAGCUCUGAGUUCAAUUCCUGAUGCAAAAAAAAAAAAAAAAAAAGAAAGAAAGAAAGAAAAAAAAAAGGUGGCCUUAAUUCCUGAGAUUUCUGUCAUUCUCCUUUAAAUUCUGGAGCCCAAGUGCCCUGAGUCACAAGAACAAAAUGCCCUGGGAAGACAGGAAAGAAAGAAUAAACACUUAAGGUCCAUUACCCACCCCA